GACUAGCGUUGUCCGGAAUCAUUGGGCGUAAAGCGCGUGUAGGCGGUCCGGUAAGUCCGCUGUGAAAGUCGGGGGCUCAACCCUCGGAUGCCGGUGGAUACUGUCGGGCUUGAGUACGGAAGAGGCGAGUGGAAUUCCUGGUGUAGCGGUGAAAUGCGCAGAUAUCAGGAGGAACACCAAUUGCGAAGGCAGCUCGCUGGGACGUUACUGACGCUGAGACGCGAAAGCGUGGGGAGCAAACAGG
rnacentral:rRNA from 1 species